CUGCAAGUCUCCAGCGUGCUUGGGUCUGGGGGUGACCAUAGGCAUUCCUAUAGAGCUUGCAAGAAUAGUAUGAAAUAGUUUGAAGGCUUGCUCAGCUCCAUCCAGAACAAGGUUAUAGAAAUUUCAGACAGUU